GGGCUCAUGGCCUAAUGGUAAGGCGUUAGAUUUCGGUUCCCAUUCCGGGUUCAUCAGUUCUCUAAAGAUUGCAGGUUCGAUCCCUGCUGAGCUCG